CUUCUCAUCCCUGGAGACAAAGACCACUAGCUUGCGAGCACCAGUUCCAGCUCCAUCCAUCAUGAAGCAUCUUCUGAUCUUGCUGUCUCUUCUGGCCCUCAUGAGCUGCACAAGGGCCCAACGCGUGGAAUGCACGGGCCCAUCUACCUGUUCUGAGAGUGCUGGCAGAAAAAUAUGUCGUUGUCCGAGCUCAGUUGGCUACAUAGAUACCGUCAGCGAGGGUAAAAGAG